GGCAUCAUAGAAUAAUCAAAGGAGCAAUCCGCUUUGAGAUGGACCCGCGGCGCAUUAGCUAGUUGGUGAGGUAAGGGCUCCCCAAGGCGACGAUGCGUAGCCGACCUGAGAGGGUGAUCGGCCACAUUGGAACUGAGACACGGUCCAGACUCCUACGGGAGGCAGCAGUGGGGAAUAUUGCGCAAUGGGGGAAACCCUGACGCAGCAACGCCGCGUGAGUGAUGAAGGUUUUCGGAUCGUAAAACUCUGUCUUUAGGGACGAUAAUGACGGUACCUAAGGAGGAAGCCACGGCUAACUACGUGCCAGCAGCCGCGGUAAUACGUAGGUGGCAAGCGUUGUCCGGAUUUACUGGGCGUAAAGAGUAUGUAGGUGGGUGCUUAAGUCAGAUGUGAAAUUCCCGGGCUUAACCUGGGCGCUGCAUUUGAAACUGGGCAUCUAGAGUGCAGGAGAGGAAAGUGGAAUUCCUAGUGUAGCGGUGAAAUGCGUAGAGAUUAGGAAGAACACCAGUGGC
rnacentral:rRNA from 1 species